rnacentral:rRNA from 1 species
CUGGGGUGAAGCCGUAACAAGGUAGCCGUAGGUGAACCUGCAGAAGGAUCA